rnacentral:rRNA from 1 species
AGAGUUUGAUCCUGGCUCAGAUUGAACGCUGGCGGUAUGCUUAACACAUGCAAGUCGAACGGUAACAGGCCUUCGGGUGCUGACGAGUGGCGGACGGGUGAGUAACGCGUAGGAAUCUGCCUUAUAGUGGGGGACAACGUGGGGAAACCCACGCUAAUACCGCAUACGCCCUACGGGGGAAAGCGGGGGAUCGCAAGACCUCGCGCUAUGAGAUGAGCCUGCGUUAGAUUAGCUAGUUGGUAGGGUAAAGGCCUACCAAGGCGACGAUCUAUAGCUGGUCUGAGAGGACGAUCAGCCACACUGGGACUGAGACACGGCCCAGACUCCUACGGGAGGCAGCAGUGGGGAAUAUUGGACAAUGGGCGCAAGCCUGAUCCAGCAAUACCGCGUGUGUGAAGAAGGCCUUAGGGUUGUAAAGCACUUUCAAUGGGGAGGAAAACCUACCGGCCAAUACCCGGUAGCUUGACAUUACCUAUAGAAGAAGCACCGGCUAACUCCGUGCCAGCAGCCGCGGUAAUACGGAGGGUGCGAGCGUUAAUCGGAAUUACUGGGCGUAAAGCGUGCGUAGGCGGCUCGUUAAGUCAGAUGUGAAAGCCCUGGGCUCAACCUGGGAACUGCAUUUGAAACUGGCGAGCUAGAGUUGAGUAGAGGGGAGUGGAAUUUCAGGUGUAGCGGUGAAAUGCGUAGAUAUCUGAAGGAACACCAGUGGCGAAGGCGACUCCCUGGACUCAAACUGACGCUGAGGUACGAAAGCGUGGGUAGCAAACAGGAUUAGAUACCCUGGUAGUCCACGCUGUAAA